CUGGCGGCGUGCCUACACAUGCAAGUCGAACGAGAAAGUGGAGCAAUCCAUGAGUAAAGUGGCGACCGGGUGAGUAACACGUGACUAACCUACCUCCGAGUGGGGAAUAACUCCGGGAAACCGGGGCUAAUACCGCAUAACAUCGCAAGAUUAAAGCAGCAAUGCGCUUGGAGAGGGGGUCGCGGCUGAUUAGCUCGUUGGCGGGGUAACGGCCCACCAAGGCGAAGAUCGGUAUCCGGCCUGAGAGGGCGCACGGACACACUGGAACUGAAACACGGUCCGGACUCCUACGGGAGGCAGCAGUGGGGAAUUUUGCGCAAUGGGGGAAACCCUGACGCAGCAACGCCGCGUGGAGGAUGAAGCCCUUUGGGGCGUAAACUCCUUUCGACUCGGACGAUAAUGACGGUACGAGUGGAAGAAGCACCGGCUAACUCUGUGCCAGCAGCCGCGGUAAUACAGAGGGUGCGAGCGUUGUUCGGAAUUAUUGGGCGUAAAGGGCGCGUAGGCGGUGCGGUAAGUCACCUGUGAAAUCUCCUGNCUUAACUGGGAGUCUGCAGGCGAAACUACCGUGCUG
rnacentral:rRNA from 1 species